UUUUCGCGCCCCCUAUCAGCUUGUUGGUGGGGUGAUGGCCUACCAAGGCGUCGACGGGUAGCCGGCCUGAGAGGGCGACCGGCCACACUGGGACUGAGACACGGCCCAGACUCCUGCGGGAGGCAGCAGUGGGGAAUAUUGCGCAAUGGGCGAAAGCCUGACGCAGCGACGCCGCGUGAGGGAUGACGGCCUUCGGGUUGUAAACCUCUUUCAGCGGGGACCAAGCCUUUCGGGGUGAGUGUACCCGCAGAAGAAGCACCGGCUAACUACGUGCCAGCAGCCGCGGUAAUACGUAGGGUGCUAGCGUUGUCCGGAUUUAUUGGGCGUAAAGGGCUCGUAGGCGGUCUGUCGCGUCGGGUGUGAAAUCCUACCGCUCAACGGUGGGCUUGCAUCCGGUACGGGCAGGCUGGAGUGUGGCAGGGGAGACUGGAAUUCCUGGUGUAGCGGUGGAAUGCGCAGAUAUCAGGAGGAACACCGGUGGCGAAGGCGGGUCUCUGGGCCAUUACUGACGCUGAGGAGCGAAAGCGUGGGGAGCGAACAGGAUUAGAUACCCUGGUAGUCCACGCUGUAAACGUUGGGCGCUAGGUGUGGGGACUGUUUCCACGGUCUCCGUGCCGCAGCUAACGCAUUAAGCGCCCCGCCU
rnacentral:rRNA from 1 species